rnacentral:rRNA from 1 species
UACGUAGGGGGCGAGCGUUGUCCGGAUUUAUUGGGCGUAAAACGCUUGUAGGUGGCUACGUCAAGUCGGACGUGAAAUCUCCCGGCUUAACUGGGAGGGGUCGCUCGAUACUGGCGAGCUCGAGGCAGGUAGGGGGAAGCGGAAUUCCCGGUGUAGUGGUGGAAUGCGUAGAUAUCGGGAGGAACACCAGUAGCGAAGGCGGCUUCCUGGACCUGUUCUGACACUGAGGAGCGAAAAGCGUGGGGGAGCGAUCCGGGAUUUAGAAAACCCC